rnacentral:tRNA from 1 species
UGCCGGGUCGUCCAAUGGCAGGAUACAAGACUUUGAAUCUUGUGAUGGUGGUUCGACCCCACCCCCGGCAGCCA